CACACACAAACCGGUCAAAGUCAGUGUGAUGUCACCUGUAGGUUUUCUAUAGAGACCUGGACCAGGCGAUAUGAAGCCCGUGUCUGGGCGUUGCCGUGUUGACACCGGCGGCCGCGC